CCCUCCACUCUGGGAUAAGCGCUGGAAACGGCGUCUAAUACUGGAUACGACCGACCCUCGCAUGGGGUGUUGGUGGAAAGAUUUAUCGGUGGAGGAUGGACUCGCGGCCUAUCAGCUUGUUGGUGGGGUAAUGGCCUACCAAGGCGACGACGGGUAGCCGGCCUGAGAGGGCGACCGGCCACACUGGGACUGAGACACGGCCCAGACUCCUACGGGAGGCAGCAGUGGGGAAUAUUGCACAAUGGGCGAAAGCCUGAUGCAGCGACGCCGCGUGAGGGAUGACGGCCUUCGGGUUGUAAACCUCUUUCAGCAGGGAAGAAGCUUUUGUGACGGUACCUGCAGAAGAAGCACCGGCUAACUACGUGCCAGCAGCCGCGGUAAUACGUAGGGUGCGAGCGUUGUCCGGAAUUAUUGGGCGUAAAGAGCUUGUAGGCGGUUUGUCGCGUCUGCUGUGAAAAUUCAGGGCUUAACCCUGGACGUGCAGUGGGUACGGGCAGACUAGAGUGUGGUAGGGGAGACUGGAAUUCCUGGUGUAGCGGUGGAAUGCGCAGAUAUCAGGAGGAACACCGAUGGCGAAGGCAGGUCUCUGGGCCAUUACUGACGCUGAGAAGCGAAAGCAUGGGGAGCGAACAGGAUUAGAUACCCUGGUAGUCCAUGCCGUAAACGUUGGGCGCUAGGCGUGGGUCUCAUUCCACGAGAUCCGUGUCGCAGCUAACGCAUUAAGCGCCCCGCCUGGGGAGUACGGCCGCAAGGCUAAAACUCAAAGGAAUUGACGGGGGCCCGCACAAGCGGCGGAGCAUGCUGAUUAAUUCGAUGCAACGCGAAGAACCUUACCAAGGCUUGACAUGCACCGGAUCGCCUCAGAGAUGGGGUUUCCCUUUGGGCUGGUGCACAGGUGGUGCAUGGUUGUCGUCAGCUCGUGUCGUGAGAUGUUGGGUUAAGUCCCGCAACGAGCGCAACCCUCGUUCUAUGUUGCCAGCACGUGAUGGUGGGGACUCAUAGGAGACUGCCGGGGUCAACUCGGAGGAAGGUGGGGAUGACGUCAAAUCAUCAUGCCCCUUAUGUCUUGGGCUUCAAG
rnacentral:rRNA from 1 species